ensembl:lncRNA
CAAUGACAGAUAUAUGGCUGAGCCAGAGUCAGUGUGCAAGAGCAGGCAUGGCAAAUGUGGAAUCUGAGGCAAAUUUAGCAGUUUGUGUUCUCGGGGGGGAAAAAUAAGGAAAGGGGGGAAAAGCACAAAUCAGUGCUAAAGUGGCUGGACUAAUGUGGCACAGUUGUCUGUGGAGUGCAGUCGUGGUGAGAGCCAAAAAAAAGAGAUGGAUAUUCCUCAGGGUGUAAUGAAUAAGUCACUAACAAUGAGUUAAGGAACAACAGCAAAACCUUCCUCUUCCAUUUAUUUGGGACUAUUUGACAAAUGAGAAAUCCCCCAAGAUGAAGGCAGCAUAAAAGUCUUGCUGAAGCUUUCACCGUGGUGAGAUCUGGAGAGAUGUUCUGCGGAUCCUUACGUGCAGAGCAGCCACAGUGCCAAGAGGAGCUGACUGCCAUUCGUUCACCAUUACGUGUGCAUGCUGAGGGAUGCACACCAGCUCCUCAGCCUCAUCGGCUCUCAACUACACUGAGCUUCGAGCUCACACACUGCUGUUGUGCUCAGCAGAGGAGGAAAGCUGUCCGGCUGCUGGGCCACUGCACGCAGGUGGUGCAGGGGAGAGCUCCUUGUAUGAAUGUUUGCCUUUAAAACUACAGUAAAAUAACCCCAAACCUACAAUCACUGUACCUGGUUCUACUUAACAAAGCUUUUAACCUCCAGACCCCGGACUUUUCCAGCUGUACUGCUGUUGGCAGAACACCUCUCCGUUCGUCCUGUCGUGCUGCUGGCAGAAAGCAGGUGCUUUCCUUCAAGCAAACAAAGUUUCUGAGUACAGGAGGCGGAAAGCACAACCCAACCCCUGCAGCAGAUGCCAGGGAGCCGUUCAGGGGCAGCCCUCCACCCCAGCAUCCUACUUUCCUCUGCAAUAGGAGAAACAAAAAUGUAUUUCCAAUGCAGAGUUCAGCUGCAGUGGCUGGGGAGUUGGUCAAAUGUUGCCAACUAGAGAUGUUCCACUUAGGUGGCAAUUGGCCCAAACCUUCAGAGCUAUCCCGAGGUGAGGUGGGUGUCUCUGGAGAUCUGCCUGAGCCCAGAUCUUCACGUGGUUGGAAUGCUCUAAUAUCUUAAUGCAGAUGCGAUGUGGUCGUGGCACAGCUGUGGUUUCGAUGCAGUGGAAGCGAUGGGCUCGCCCUGUGAACGUGCCAUGCCGUCUGAAAUUGAGAUCGGCAGCGGUGUGUGAGACGGGACAAAGGAAGGACAAGAGAAAUGGGCGUGAAAAAAUUGGGAGAUGGGAAUAAAUGCGAGAAUACUCCACAUAGCGACACAAAGGAGAAGGCACAAAGUGCCGAGAAGCUCCUCAGCCACCCACGGAAGCAGCGAGAUUUCUCACCCUGCUGUCUGCGAGGAACCCGUGGUCUCACACCUCAUCCAUCGCCCUCGUGCUGCUACUGGCCCACAUGCCGUUGGAUUAGAAAAUGAGUGGGGUACAUUGGAGCCUGGCUCUGCCUGCGUAGACCUGAGGGGCUGACGGCUGGAGGGAACGGAUUGAGCAGCACCGAGAAACUGCACCGAGCAGAACAGUGCUCAGCGCUGCACUGAGUGCUCUGGCAGCCGCCGGUGCAGAACUGAGCGCAGGGCUGGUGCGUCCUGCCAGCUUCUUUCUGGGGGUCUUCAUAAGGAAAACAGAAAUCCCCUCAUAAUCAGCAGAAACCUCAGAAUGCUGCAUUCCCUCUGGGGGGGUGGAGGACAGAGAAGGACAGAGGCACUUAGCAAGAUGGAGGUGCUACAACCUGAGGAUGACAGUCAGGGAAUACGGACCCACAGGAGUGACAGUGUCAUUGUGCUUGGAGAUGUGCAUCUGGGAGCUUCUGCCGGGUUUCAGUACUUCUGAACGCAGAAGGUGAGGGUUCCAACCAAGGGGGGCGCACAGAAAGCAUUCUCUGGGAACUAAAGCAGCCUAACCAGGUGCCUGCUGGCCUUGGAGCUGCCACUCCACACCAUUGACUGUGUCCUCCGGAGAAAGACAUCUCCCAGACACCAUAGUCCUCUGCCACGGCCAUGGUGCAGAUCUGAGAAGGGGCUCAAUGGCUCUUUACCCUCUGCAAGUCAGAGCCGUGGUGGGCUUCACCUGCAACCCCUGAUGUGAACACACAGAUGUAUAUACAGAGAACACAGCCCACGAGCCCAAUCCUUUAGCACUACAUCACACCCAUUCCCAGUUGCACGCACUGCUGAGGGCUGUGACAACCGUUUGUGCUGGUUUACAACUCCACACGCAUGGGCCACCCCGUGCGCCUCUCCGGGGAUGCCUCCACGCUGUGCCACGAGGAUGCUGUGCCAGACAUCUGUGCUUGGGGACGCCGGCAGCACAGAUCCUCGCUGCUGCCUUCCGUACCUGCCAGCAAGGGACAAAAGAUGUUUUAUUUUUGAGCGGACGGUUUCAGCGAGCAGCCAGAUAUUUGCGUGCCCGAGGCCUGACCGGAGCAGCAGUACCACUCGGCGCGUUCUAACAGCGCGGUUUCCUUUUCCCUAUUUCUUCUCACCCAUCACCAUCACUCCAUCACCAUCAGUCCGCACGCGUUCGUUGCGAGCGCCUUUUGCUUCCCCCAGACCCGCCGG